CGCACCUUGCGCUCCUCGGUAUUCCGUGGAGCAUGCCUGUCUGAGUGUCGUGAACAUCCUCAAACCUUUUUCCGAUUUAUUUCGGUGAAAGGCUUUGGUAUUGGAGGGCUUUGCCGGGAGCUCACGCUUCAUCAUCGGCUCCUCUUGAAUGCAUUAGCCGCGGACUUAUAUGCUCCGACGGGUCCGGCGUGAUUAAAUCUUUUUCUACGUCGUGGUCCCGUUUGUCGAGCGCAUGAGUUGACUUGUGGCUUCUAAUCGGCCGUUCUUGGCCAUUCGUUUCGACGGUUUGACCUCAGAUCAGGUAGGAUUACCCGCUGAACUUAA
rnacentral:misc_RNA from 1 species